CCGAGUGAAAACUCACCAAACCAUUGUCUAUUUACUCUAUUUACACUUCUCCGGCAGGCGGUUCCAGGGCGGGACCGAGCCUUAUGGCACCUGCCGAAGGGGUACCCAACUGCUCUAUAUUAUACUGUCUGAGAAAAAAAAAUUAUCA
rnacentral:misc_RNA from 1 species